rnacentral:rRNA from 1 species
UACGAAGGGGGCUAGCGUUGCUCGGAAUCACUGGGCGUAAAGCGCACGUAGGCGGCUUUCUAAGUCAGGGGUGAAAUCCUGGAGCUCAACUCCAGAACUGCCUUUGAUACUGGAGAGCUUGAGUCCGGGAGAGGUGAGUGGAACUCCGAGUGUAGAGGUGAAAUGCGCAGAUAUCAGGAGGAACACCAAUGGCGAAGGCAGCUCGCUGGAACGGAACUGACGCUGAGGCGCGAAAGCGUGGGGAGCGAACAGG